UUCUUUUGUUGCAGGUCCGGAACAUUGCUUUGGGAAUUGUAUCUCGCAGGUUUAAUUGGAAACAGCCGACUGUGAUGGAGACAAUUGAUAGUAAGUAAAUAUUGCUAGCUCUUCUACUUGUUUUCAGGCAUCAUAAAAAAAAUAUUGUUUUGCUUGCUAGUCGCUUAUUUGUGUUCCAACCAACUAGUUAGAUGAUAGGCACUUUCUCGAUAAUGAAUGUACAUAAUCUCAUUUAGAUUCUUCAAGCUUUAUAUUUGAUUGGUUUAAAUCAUGUAGUCAAUAGAAAUCGAUACAAGGAAAUGGUUAUCCUAACAUGCCUGUUUGCGUAUUUCCAUGAUUCUUUCUUUUUCAUGUUAUAUGACUUCACAGUUUUCUUUAACUACUUCCGGCGCAUCAUCAAAAAUAUUUCAGCCAUGCAGAACAAAUUUCUCAGGCUAUGAUAGCCAGAGGCUGUAAAGGGGACGUUGACACUAUUUCUUGUCAAAAUCAUCUUUUGGGAUGCCAUAUAUAAUAUGUUUUGUUGAACUUGA